AGGGUAUAGCAUCUGGCAAAAUCAGAUUGAUCACACAAGAACUGGUACACAUGAGAGAAAAUGGACAAACAAUUAUAAAAAAUCUGCAACUGCUCCACGACGCGAUGGCUGCGGUUCCGGCUCCAUGACGGCGAGGGCUGCGGUUUCGGCUCUCCACGACGAUGGCUGAGGUCAGGGAUGCCGGCUCUGCAGGAGCUGCCACCCGACCUACUCAUCCUCAUGGGCGCCGAUGGGGAUCUGCGGUAGUGAAAGAGAUCGAGGGAGAGAAAAGAAAUCGAGAGAGGUAGAGAGAGACUAACCGUGAGAGGGAGAGGGGGAUUCGGUGGUGCGUGGGGUCGGGGGCGCCAGAUCCGGCGGCAGCCAGGGUCGAGGUCGCCUAGCAGCGGUCGAGGUCGUACCUGGCGUACCUAGCGGCGGUCGAGGUCGAAGAUGAGACGUAGAAGGGGAGAGGCGCCCGCCGGCGGAGAUGAGUGAGAGAAGAGAGAGAACACCUACUCCUCGACACCGACAUCCUGCAAGAGUGAGAGAAGAGAGAGAGAGAGGGAAACCGAGAGGGAGAUAGGGAACCGAGAGAAGGAGACGAACCUGCGGGGCGAGGGGCGGUGGCUGACCGGAUCCGCGGCGGCGGGGCAGUCGCUGGUCGGAUCCAGCAACGUCGAGGCCCGGGAAGGCCCGCGGCACGACGGAGUCCGGCGUUGGGGGAGGGCAGUACAGCAGCAGCUCCUGGGCGGCGGGGCGGAGUCCGGCGUUGGUGGAGGGUGGUGCAGCGGCAGCUCCUUGGCGGCGCGGCGGGGUCCGGCUUUCGAGGAGGCCGAUGCAGUGGCAGGCAGCAGCUCCUUGGGGGCGGCUCCUUGGUGGUGUGGGCAUCGGGCCAGAUGAGAUCAAGGUGGAGAUUGUGCUGUACAUGAGUGAGAGAGGAAAGGAGAAGGAGAAAGAGAAGCCACGGUCCAUGAAGGAGAUAAGGAUA
rnacentral:lncRNA from 1 species